rnacentral:tRNA from 1 species
GCAGUGGUGGUUCAGUGGUAGAACUCGUGGCUUUCAUGAGGGAGGCCUAGGUACGAUUCUCAGCCAAUGCA